UGGGGAAUAUUGGGCAAUGGGCGAAAGCCUGACCCAGCAACGCCGCGUGAAGGAAGAAGGUUUUCGGAUUGUAAACUUCUGUCCUCAGGGAAGAAGGAAGUGACGGUACCUGAGGAGGAAGCCCCGGCUAACUACGUGCCAGCAGCCGCGGUAAUACGUAGGGGGCAAGCGUUGUCCGGAAUUACUGGGUGUAAAGGGCGUGUAGGCGGGGCGGCAAGUCAGAUGUGAAAUACCGUGGCUUAACUGCGGGGGUGCAUCUGAAACUGCUGCUCUUGAGUGUCGGAGAGGAAAGUGGAAUUCCCAGUGUAGCGGUGAAAUGCGUAGAGAUUGGGAGGAACACCAGUGGCGAAGGCGGCUUUCUGGACGACAACUGACGCUGAGGCUCGAAAGCGUGGGGAGCAAACAGG
rnacentral:rRNA from 1 species